rnacentral:rRNA from 1 species
GUGAGGAAUAUUGGUCAAUGGGCGCAAGCCUGAACCAGCCAUCCCGCGUGCAGGAAGACGGCGCUAUGCGUUGUAAACUGCUUUUCCAGGGAGAGAAACUUGCGCACGUGUUGCGCAAUUGACGGUACCCUGGGAAUAAGCAUCGGCUAACUCCGUGCCAGCAGCCGCGGUAAUACGGAGGAUGCGAGCGUUAUCCGGAUUCAUUGGGUUUAAAGGGUGCGUAGGCGGACUAUUAAGUCAGUGGUGAAAUCCUGCAGCUUAACUGCAGAACUGCCAUUGAUACUGAUAGCCUUGAGUUUGGUUAAGGUAGGCGGAAUGUGUAAUGUAGCGGUGAAAUGCUUAGAUAUUACACAGAACACCAAUUGCGUAGGCAGCUUACUGAGCCGACACUGACGCUGAGGCACGAAAGCGUGGGGAUCGAACAGGAUUAGAAACCCGUGUAGUCC